GCUGCUGCUGCUGCUGCUGCUGAUGCCGAGAGGUCUGAGGAUACUUGGGGCCUAGUACCUCUAGUGUUGAAGUUGAAGGCGGGAUGCAGGGCAUCAGACCAGGAGAGUCUUCCCUUCCAUUUUUUUGCCAGCUUGGAAAUCGAGUCAAGGCUGUUGAAGUUCCAGUAUUCCUGUACUGAGCUGCCAAUUGGGCAGCCCAAAGCUGCUGCUGCGGCUGCUUUGUCAAGGCCUUGGAACUUGCAUGAGGCGCACAAUAUGGGCUGGUGAGAUGGGGGGACAACUGAAGUUUGGCCUACGUUCAAGCAUUAUAACAAAGAAUCAGCAACUUCCCAGUUCCCAGCCUACUAUAGAUGACUUGGAGUGACUCGUAUAAUAGAAAUGGCAAAUUUUGGAGUUUAUGAUGAGUCAGCAGUGGUAAGCUGCACGCCAAAGAGACUUUCAGCUACUUGCUUGUCAUUUUGCAUGUAAGAUGACAGACUACAACAUUUUUUUUUUCCUUGGAGAAAAAAAUCCAGCUUAUCCCAUUAUUCCAUUGGUGCAAUUAUUUAAAUUGACCCUCUAACCAUAGAAAGGAUGAAUAGCUAAAAAAACAUUUUAAAACCACCUCUUUGACAGGUUUUAGUGUUACCUCUUCACAUGUACACAAAUGCAACUCAGAAAGGAAAGAAUAAGACCUGUUGUGCUGCUGCUACUGAAGGCUGAUCAGGGUAAGCAGGUGUAAAUCUUGUUUGUGACAAAGAGAAAGGCAUGAGCGAGGAGGGGUUUUGUGCAUAAUAAGGAAUUUGCACUUGUGCAAAUGGUUCCAAACCAUUUCCAGUUCCAUUAAAACUGUUAAUAGGUUCCAUCCCACCACCUCCAGACAGGGACAAGAAAUUGAAAGCCUGCUUCUGACAGGUGUAUACACCAGAUGCCAAAGUAGUCUGAGAAUGAUUUUGGUGUGGUCUUAGGUGUUGAAGAAUGUCACUUUUAGAGUCAUUUGAAUUCUUCCCAACUGCAUUAACUAUUGAGCUAGCAGAUGUAACUCCAUUCGAAUCAUUUCUGACGCCACUCAAGUCAUUUAUUGUCAUAAGUACACCCUGCUUCAAUAUUUCAUGCGGUCUGAGUUGACUAGGAGGCAUUGGCAAGCUUUCUUUGCUCUCAGGCAUUUGUAAAGCUUGAAUGAGACAGCCUAUGUAAACAUGAGCUGCACACCUCUUCCACAACCUUCUAUCAGUUGAAACUUUAGAAACCUUUCCAGUUGAACCAUUUUGGAAUGAACCAGGUCUGGUACCAAGCCAAGCAGGUAUUUUGGCAGCACAGGACUGGGAUAAAGGACCAUGACAAGCACUACUUGACACUGUUGAAGACAAUCCUGGCCACAACACUGGACCAUUGUUCUUGGAUUUGUCAAGGGCAUGCUGUUGAUCUGGUUGAUUUCCAAUUGUUGUAGUCUCUGCCAAUGAAAUCUCCGUCUUUCUGUCAAGAAACGAAGUUUCUAGUUUUGCAGGCUGCCUUAGUUUACCAGUAUCCUGAUGUGGUCCAGGUGGAAAGCAAAAGUUAGCCAAGUUGCAAGGCAGCUUUUGUUCCUCAAGUUUAACCAUUGCCUCGUGCAGAUUCACUUGAGCAACAGAACUGUCUAAUUCUCCAUGGAGUCUUUCACCGAUGAUCAAAUCAGAUGGUUCUUGAGUGCUUGGUCCAUUCAAUUCUUGAGUGCUUGGGCCAUUCAAUGAAUAAACUUUGGUAGUUUCUUCAGCUGAUCUUUCUAUGUCAGAAGCAGGAUUAACAUCCUCAUCAGUUCUUGAUCGGCAAAUUAGGUUCAAGUCCUCUUUUAUAGUUACAGAAUCAUCUAAUUUGGGUUGAUGUCUCUCACUAGCCUCUGGCAAAGCAAAGGAACUUGCUUCUAAUGAAGCACUAUCCAAUUUGUUACGAUCAGGGUCAAGGUUGGGGAACAUUCCUGCCAAAGCAUACAAUGUCUCCACAACUUCUUCCUCAUCUUUUGUGAUUGGUCCACCAACAUUCUGCUUCAGGGAAUAGUUUGGGGCCCCUUGUUUCAAGUUCUGUUUCGGUUUCUUUAUCCCAACCCUUUUCGGUGAUUUAACACCACUAGUAGAAUGGUUCAGCUUCUUUGAAUUUGGAAAAGGUGUAGAUAAAGAUUCUCGAUUGCGUUUCUUCAUGGCUGACCGUAGCUUCCGCGGAACAGAAAUAUGAUCACCGCCAUUGCAGUCAUCAAAAAAUUGCUUUCUGGGUAGGUUGAAUCUCUUAAUGGUACCACUACUACGGACAGAAGAAGGAGCUUGUGAAGGAAAGGCCUGUUCUCUAUCAGUUAAUUCGCAAUCCAUUUCAUAAUCGUCCCCGUUGCUUGAAGUUGCUUUACCGUUCGAACCUUCAAAUUACAACCCACAGAAAUAAACAACAAUAAAAUCUAAACAGAGCAAAGAAGCGAAACAAAGGAUACGAAUUAUCUCCGAAACUCUUAUCAUAAAGUUGAACAAGAAUAUACAGAUAAGACAUGUACCCAGAUGGGAAUUUGUUUCUUAGUUCAGCGAAAAAAGGUGAAAUUUUCGGGACCAGAAAUAAAGGAGAGUGAAGUAAAUUCACCAGGAGAGAUAAACUUAUGUCCAGAUUGCUUAAUCUGUCGCGAGAACCGACUCGCUCCACGCCUCACGUCUCGACUCUUGUCUGUUUCUAUCAUCUUAAUUAUCACAAACUAACAACAUGCACCUGUUGAAAACGGCUUCGACGGCUCAGAACCGAUCCGAAUAAGCCAAACCCAGUUCUUUCCUCUCUCUUUCUCUCCAAAUUUGGGCUUCUUCAAUGGAAGGGAAGAACGAAAAGUUAGAGGAACCGGUGUUUAAGGAUUGACGAAGAUGAACCCAACAGGAAGAAUAAAGAGAGGAGUUAUUUUUUAUUUACUUAUUAGUUAUGAGCGAAAUGUAAGGGUGGAGAAAACCGAAAAAGUGGCGUUUGGGUUUUCGUUCCAAAGAAGAGAGAAUCAAUAUAGUUGGCAGAUAUCUCUCCGCUACUCUCUGUCUCCCCCUCUCCCUCUCUGAGUUUAGAGUGUUGAAAGCUAGGGAAGGAUCCCCCCUCUCUCCAGUAGGAGGUGAAGGGAUAGAGCAGAGACAAAAACUCAAAAAGCAAACCUAAGAGAUUGAGUGAAAGAAAAAAAAAAAA
rnacentral:misc_RNA from 1 species